GAAAAAUCUCUUCUUUUGGAGCUACUUCAAGCUGACAAAGGGGUGAAGGUUGAGGCUAAACUUGGAUCUGGUGGGGGCUUUUUCCUUCUGCUGCAGUGGCUGAUACCCUGCUAUGAGGACUUCUGUGGCUGUCUGAGUCUUGCUUUCCUCUCUCUUCCAAGGAAGUUGGGGAAGGAAGAGCAAGCAGAGAAGUGGUUGCUAACUCACUGUCCUGUUUGGGAGGGGCUGGAGGAACAGAGAGCAUGAGUGUGUGGUGAAGAGAUACAAGAUGGCAGAGAUGAGGAAGGUUCACAAGAUGGCAGAGAGGAGUCGGAAGAGCUGGCCAAGUUAUAGAGUGGGGGAGGUGUGAAUGGUGAGUGACUGGCUGGAUUGAAGGUGGGAGUCAGGAGGGGUGGAAGACGGAGUUUGGGCUAGAAGUAUCUGAGA
rnacentral:lncRNA from 1 species